rnacentral:rRNA from 1 species
GUGAGGAAUAUUGCGCAAUGGAGGCAACUCUGACGCAGCCAUGCCGCGUGCAGGAAGAAGGCGCUACGCGUUGUAAACUGCUUUUAACCGGGAAGAAACCCCAGGACGUGUCCUGGGUUGACGGUACCGGAGGAAUAAGCACCGGCUAACUUCGUGCCAGCAGCCGCGGUAAUACGAAGGGUGCAAGCGUUAUCCGGAUUCAUUGGGUUUAAAGGUUGCGUAGGCGGAGCGUUAAGUCAGUGGUGAAAUCCUGCAGCUUAACUGUAGACUUGCCAUUGAUACUGGCGCUCUUGAGUGCGCUUGAAGUGGGCGGAAUGUGCCGUGUAGCGGUGAAAUGCUUAGAUAUGGCACAGAACACCAAUUGCGAAGGCAGCUCACUAAGGCGAUACUGACGCUGAGGCACGAAAGCGUGGGGAUCGAACAGGAUUAGAUACCCCAGUAGUCC